rnacentral:rRNA from 1 species
UACGUAGGGGGCGAGCGUUGUCCGGAUUUAUUGGGCGUAAAGAGCUCGUAGGCGGUUUGGUAAGUCGGGUGUGAAAUCUCCACGCUCAACGUGGAGGGGCCACUCGAUACUGCCAUGACUCGAGUCCGGUAGAGGAGUGUGGAAUUCCCGGUGUAGCGGUGAAAUGCGCAGAUAUCGGGAGGAACACCGGUGGCGAAGGCGGUUCUCUGGGCCUGUACUGACGGCUGAGGAGCGAAAGCGUGGGGAGCGAACAGG